GCUGUUUUGCCGCACCAAAAAUAUUACCCGUGGUGGUAUUUUGGUCCAUUAAACAGCGAAGGCAAUGAUGAGUCCGUGUUGGAGAAAGAAGAUGAUGUAGACAACUUGCAGUUGGCUUGGGAGAUGCUUGACCUGUCGCGCAACAUACUGGCGCGGCGCGCGGCGCAGGGCGGCGACGCUGCGCGUGCGCUGCUCGCCGACGUUCACCUCGCGCUCGGCGAGGUCGCCCUCGAGAGUGAGACCUAUGACAAGGUGGUGCUUGACAU